rnacentral:rRNA from 1 species
UACGAAGGGGGCUAGCGUUGCUCGGAAUCACUGGGCGUAAAGGGUGCGUAGGCGGGUCUUUUAAGUCAGGGGGUGAAAUCCUGGAGCUCAACUCCAGAACUGCCUUUGAUACUGAGGAUCUUGAGUUCGGGAGAGGUGAGUGGAACUGCGAGUGUAGAGGUGAAAUUCGUAGAUAUUCGCAAGAACACCAGUGGCGAAGGCGACUUACUGGACACAUAUUGACGCUGAGGUGCGAAAGCGUGGGGAGCAAACAGG